UCCCUCCUCAGGUCUAGUGGCUAGGAUUUGCCGCUCUCAUUCAGCAGAGUCAGUUCACUGUACAGUGCCGGCAAGGCCCGGGUUCGAUUCCCGGUGUCGGAA
rnacentral:tRNA from 1 species